UGCCAGCCGCCGCGGUAAUACGGGGGAUGCAAGCGUUAUCCGGAAUCAUUGGGCGUAAAGCGCCUGUAGGUUGUUUAAUAAGUCUGUUGUUAAAGACUAGGGCUUAACCCUAGGAAGGCAAUGGAAACUACUAGACUAGAGUAUGAUAGGGGUAGAGGGAAUUUCUAGUGUAGCGGUGAAAUGCGUAGAUAUUUGGAGGAACACCAGUGGCGAAGGCGGCUCACUGGCUCGAUACUGACGUUGAGGUGCGAAAGCGUGGGGAGCAAACAGGAUUAGAUA
rnacentral:rRNA from 1 species